rnacentral:lncRNA from 1 species
CAUGUCUUUAUUGAACACACCGCGUAAACAUUCACAGUGCAGGGUGGAAAAAGUAUGUGAAUCCAUGGAUUUAAUAACUGGUUGACCCUCCUUUGGCAGCAAUAACCUCAACCAAACGUUUUCUGUAGUUGCGGAUCAGACCUGCACAACGGUCAGGAGGAAUUUUGGACCAUUCCUCUUUACAAAACUGUUUCAGUUCAGCAGAAUUCUUGGGAUGUCUGGUGUGAACUGCUCCCUUGAGCUCAUGUCACAGCAUCUCAAUCGGGUUGAGGUCAGGACUCUGACUGGGCGACUCCAGAAGGCACAUUUUCUUCUGUUGAAGCAAUUCUGUUGUUGAUUUACUUCCUGUGUUUUUUGUUGUUGUCCUGUUGCAUCAUCCAACUUCUGUUGAGCUUCAAUUGGCGGACAGAUAUUCUUACAUUCUCCUGCAAAAUGUCUUGAUAAACUUGGGAAUUCAUUUUUCCGUCGAUGAUAGCAAGCUGUCCAGCCCCUGACACGGAACCCAAACCAUCGUGCAUACAUUUAUUUUGUCCACCCACACCAAAUGCGAUCACUACACGCAGGUUAAAUUAUCAAAACAAACUCUGAACCAAUGACAUUAAUUUGGGGACAGGUCGAAAAGCAUUAAACAUGUAUGGCAAUUUAGCUAGCUAGCUUGCACAUGCUAGCUAAUUUGUCCUAUUUAGCUAGCUUGCUGUUGCUAGCUAAUUUGUCCUGGGAUAUAAACAUUGAGUUGAUAUUUUACCUGAAAUGCACAAGGUCCUCUACUCCGACAAUUAAUCCACACAUAAAACAGCCAACCAAAUCGUUUCUAGUCAUCUCUCUUCCUUCCAGGCCUUUUUCAUCUUUGAACUUAUAUGGUGAUUGGCAUCUAAACUUUCAUAGUAUCGCGCUCGCGCACAUGACGAGUCUGGUCUGGUCAGCAUGUAAGGCAUCAAAGCAGCUUCAAACCAUUAUGUUCCCUUCACCAUACUUUACAGUUGGGAUGAGGUUUUGAUGUAGGGUGUCAUUUGGGGAGCACAUGAUGUUUCUGUACACUACAGGACUGAUGUAUCUGUAGCUGUUGCUAUGGAAGAGGCUUGGACUUGAGACAAAGCUGAGUGUGCAUAUAUAUACACACACACACACACACUCGCACACACACACACACACACACGCACACACGCACACGCACGUACACAUACACAGACGGACGCACACACACGGAUGCAC